rnacentral:rRNA from 1 species
UGUGUGUUAGUGGAAGCGUCUGGAAAGGCGCGCGAUACAGGGUGACAGCCCCGUACACAAAAAUGCACAUGCUGUGAGCUCGAUGAGUAGGGCGGGACACGUGGUAUCCUGUCUGAAUAUGGGGGGACCAUCCUCCAAGGCUAAAUACUCCUGACUGACCGAUAGUGAACCAGUACCGUGAGGGAAAGGCGAAAAGAACCCCGGCGAGGGGAGUGAAAAAGAACCUGAAACCGUGUACGUACAAGCAGUGGGAGCACGCUUAGGCGUGUGACUGCGUACCUUUUGUAUAAUGGGUCAGCGACUUAUAUUCUGUAGCAAGGUUAACCGAAUAGGGGAGCCGAAGGGAAACCGAGUCUUAACUGGGCGUUAAGUUGCAGGGUAUAGACCCGAAACCCGGUGAUCUAGCCAUGGGCAGGUUGAAGGUUGGGUAACACUAACUGGAGGACCGAACCGACUAAUGUUGAAAAAUUAGCGGAUGACUUGUGGCUGGGGGUGAAAGGCCAAUCAAACCGGGAGAUAGCUGGUUCUCCCCGAAAGCUAUUUAGGUAGCGCCUCGUGAAUUCAUCUCCGGGGGUAGAGCACUGUUUCGGCAAGGGGGUCAUCCCGACUUACCAACCCGAUGCAAACUGCGAAUACCGGAGAAUGUUAUCACGGGAGACACACGGCGGGUGCUAACGUCCGUCGUGAAGAGGGAAACAACCCAGACCGCCAGCUAAGGUCCCAAAGUCAUGGUUAAGUGGGAAACGAUGUGGGAAGGCCCAGACAGCCAGGAUGUUGGCUUAGAAGCAGCCAUCAUUUAAAGAAAGCGUAAUAGCUCACUGGUCGAGUCGGCCUGCGCGGAAGAUGUAACGGGGCUAAACCAUGCACCGAAGCUGCGGCAGCGACACUAUGUGUUGUUGGGUAGGGGAGCGUUCUGUAAGCCUGUGAAGGUGUACUGUGAGGUAUGCUGGAGGUAUCAGAAGUGCGAAUGCUGACAUAAGUAACGAUAAAGCGGGUGAAAAGCCCGCUCGCCGGAAGACCAAGGGUUCCUGUCCAACGUUAAUCGGGGCAGGGUGAGUCGACCCCUAAGGCGAGGCCGAAAGGCGUAGUCGAUGGGAAACAGGUUAAUAUUCCUGUACUUGGUGUUACUGCGAAGGGGGGACGGAGAAGGCUAUGUUGGCCGGGCGACGGUUGUCCCGGUUUAAGCGUGUAGGCUGGUUUUCCAGGCAAAUCCGGAAAAUCAAGGCUGAGGCGUGAUGACGAGGCACUACGGUGCUGAAGCAACAAAUGCCCUGCUUCCAGGAAAAGCCUCUAAGCAUCAGGUAACAUCAAAUCGUACCCCAAACCGACACAGGUGGUCAGGUAGAGAAUACCAAGGCGCUUGAGAGAACUCGGGUGAAGGAACUAGGCAAAAUGGUGCCGUAACU